rnacentral:lncRNA from 1 species
CAGACGAACGAGGUGGCCAAGAUCAACAACCGCUUCAAGAGGGAGGAGGUGGUCAUCAACGGCUGGGAGACCGAGCAGGUGGAGAAGGCCUCCGCAUGGCUCAAGAAGAUCGAGGUACUCAAAUUUAAAACAAUCCCCCUUUUUAAUUUAUUUUCCUCACUCAAACCAUGAUUUCAAAGUUUGAAAACGCAUAUAGGAGAUGCUAACGGUUCCUCAAUUUCUGAUGAACACAUGCAGUCGAUGGUCUUUGCUUUCUAAAUUGUGCGAAUCUAAGUCUCCCCCACCCAACCCCCCCCCCCCCCCCCCCCCCCCGCCAAAAAAAAAGUAAAACAUGACAAGCACAUGUGCUAAAUUGGCAACCAUGCUUGUGGUCUUCCAGAAAUCAAUAUGAAUUUCAGCUGGCUACCAAUGAAAUUAGCUAGGAUCCGCGUGAUUUCUGAUGAACAAAUUGAAACAGAGGGGUCAUAUUAUGUGUCUUCAGAGUAGCUCUGGAUAUUCAGUCCUGUUGCAGGAGAACAAUGGGUUCAAUCUUCCUCUUGCUUCAUGCAUGUUAAAAAAACAAUAUCUUCUUGCAACUAAUUUGUACCAGGAAAGAAAAACUACCUUUAGUCAGGUUUCGUAAGUUUUAUUAUUUGCGUGCCCGAUGUUCAUCCUGAGUUCCUGAGCACCCUAUCAACAGCUGCAUCGCGUGUCAAUCUGUUUCCAGUUUGGACUGGCCCUACUAAUUAAUUACAAAAGAAAGAUGCGUGCUGUGUUUUUGACUGGAUAUAUGAUUAUAUUCCUUGAUUCGUUGGUUGCAGAGGAAGCUGGACGAGCAGCGCGCCAAGGCGGUGGAGAAGACGCAGAACGACAUCGCCAAGGCGCGGCGCAAGGCGGAGGAGAAGCGGGCGUCAGCGGAGGCCAAGCGAGGCCUGAAAUUGGCCAAGGUGCUGGAGCUCGCCAACUUCAUGAAGGCCGUCGGCAGGGUGCCCACCAAGCGCUCCUUCUUCUAGCCGGCCGAUCUAUCCCUGGCACCUCCGAUCCCCAGUGCUGCUGCUACUGCUGCUGCCUAAAGCUACGACCAUAGCUAGCUCUCUCUGUGUCCCUGCGUGAUCGAUGUACGCUCGACGCUGCAUCCGAGAACCUAACUGUAAAAAAGAAAAAUUGUAAGCUGUAUACGUACUGCCUGCUGGUUCCCUGUGAUGCCUGUGAUCCAUCACAGGGUGGCCGUUCUUCUCCUUUUUUUUUUUGCUGGCUUGUACUAUAUAUCGAUCCAUAUGGUGGUGCUUGAACGAACUGUUUGCUU